UUUAUUUUUUAUUGCGUUACAGCGUUUCUUAAAGUAUGGGUCGCGGGCCUGUUAAUGGUGGGUCGCGACGUAAAUUUAUAAUUACUUCAUUAAUUAUUGGAAUUGAUUUGGCAAAGUGAACUGCGCUUUCGGUUCAGUGCGCUCUCUGUUUAGCGGUGGUCUCUGCUCAGUUUGGCAGCUGCGCAAGUGGGAGAGGGAGAUACCCGUGUGCUUCGCGGUUUACCGGAUAUUUUUUUCUGCAGUUUUCUUGAAGAUCACUCCGCGACCCACACACUGCAGCGCUGUUGUUCAAGCCACUGACUAGUUAUUCCCGCUCGGCAUCGCUCACCGCUGUCGUGCUAGCCACAAGUUCUGACUGAGCCCAAUCGUCAUGAAACGCAAAUACAGUGACGACUUUGUCUUUUUCAUACACAUUUUGAGAAAUAACGAGGAGCGCCCACAAUGUGUUUUGUGAGGGAAAGUGCUUAGUAAUGAGUCUCUCAAAACGAACAAGUUAAUAAAACGACACGCUCCUGGCCAAAUAUCCAGGUACAACAUGACGGUAAACCAAGAGAGUUCUUUCAGAACGGGGCAGAACGCUUCGAAAGUGGAAAAAUAAGUAAACUACCAAGGCAUUGUUGUCAUUUUAUAACAGGUUAUGAUAAGCAGAAAUAAGGGAGUCCUAUCUUAGUAGAUGUGAGUUUAUCUUUCAAGCAAUCCUCGUUAGUCAAAGCAAGCUAGCUAACUACGGAUGGUGCACCCCUAAGAAACAGUACAGAUGAAGAUAAAUUAUCAGGCCUACUGUACAUUUUACUGUAGAAAUUAUUAUUGAAAACAAGUCUAGGUUGGAACUGUUUGCUGUUGAAAAUACAAGUAAUAAUUUUUAUUCUGAACUGGGAGUAAACUGAUAGAAAGCAAGAUGCUUUUUGAGGCGACCACACACAGUUCUGGGUUGCUCAUCUACAGUAGGAAGCGGUCUCCUGCCUGACUGAGAAAGCAGUAGAUGUUCUGAUCCAGUUUGGCACCACAUACCUCUGCAAGUCGGGGUUCUCAAGUACAGAAACAGUGUCAAUGCUGAGCAUGAUCUCAGUGUUUCACUGUCAAAAACAGCCCAGAAUAGACAUGCUUGUUGAAAACUUCAACCAGCCCACACACCUCUCAUUAGGACUGUGUGUGUAUAUGUGUUUUCUGGGCUACAUCUAUGUGAUGUGAUCAAUCAGUUCAUUCCAGUUCAGAACUAAAUUAUUUAUUGUAUUUUAACAGCAACGGUUCCAACCUAGACAGGUACACUACCGUUCAAAAGUUUGGGGUCACAUAGAAAUGUUUUUUUUUUUUUAAAGAAAAGCACAUUUUCUUGUCCAUUAAAAUAACAUUAAAUUGAUCAGAAAUACAGUGUAGACAUUGUUAAUGUUGUAAAUGACUAUUGUAGCUGGAAACUGCUGAUUUUUAAUGGAAUAUCUACAUAGGCGUACAGAGGCCCAUUAUCAACAACCAUCACUCCUGUGUCCAAUGGCACGUUGUGUUAGCUAAUUCAAGUUUAUAAUUUUAAAGGGCUAAUUGAUCAUUAGAAACCCCUUUUGCAAUUAGGUUAGCACAGCUGAAAACUGCUGUUCUGAUUAAAGAAGCAAUAAAACUGGUCUUCUUUAGACUAGUUGAAUAUCUGGAGCAUCAGCAUUUGUGGGUUUGAUUACAGGCUCAAAAUGACCAGAAACAAAUACCUUUUUUUCUGAAACUCAUCAGUCCAUUCUUGUUCUGAGAAAUGAAGGCUAUUCCAAUGCGAGAAAUUGCCAAGAAACUGAAGAUCUCCUACAACGCUGUGUACUACUCCCUUCACAGAACAGCUCAAACUGUCUCUAACCAGAAAAGAAAGAGGAGUGAGAGGCCCCGGUGCACAACUGAGCAAGAGGACAAGUACAUUAGAGUGUCUAGUUUGAGAAACAGACGCCUCACAAGUUCUCAACUGGCAGCUUAAUGAAAUAGUACCUGCAAAAAAAACAGUCUUGACGUCAACAGUGAAGAGGCGACUCCGGGAUGCUGGCCUUCUUGGCAUAGUUCCGAAACCGAUAUGAUGGCUGGUUACACAAAGAAAGGGAGGUGGGUUUGAAUGAAAGAGCGGGAAAACUGAGGAACAAAAGGAUUGGGUCUCUAUCGGACCUUAUAAAGCCAUGCUAUCGUAAAUACAGAAUCUUAUGCAUUCAAAAUAACCGCCCAUUCGGAAAAGGAAAAUGCAAGAAAUAUAUUUACUCUGAGCUGCGCUUCGAUAGAUUGGUCGAAGAUGGAGGGCUGGGUUGCCCAGCUGAGAUCUCCCUUGUCCUUUGAAGAAUAUUUCUGGGCGGAUACGUUGUAGUCUGUUGUUGUGUGGUAGAAUGGAUACGUUGUAGUACCCUGUCGUUCUGAAGAGAUUGUCCGUCCUUUCCUAGGCCAUGCACGUUUACAGCUGCAGCUGAUAACUCAACAUCUAGGAUGUAUCACUUCUUUAGUGAACAAAAGUUCAAUGUUCAUACCAAGUUGCCAUACUCAACUCAUGCUAUAUUCUGGCUGGUGUAGUCAAAAUUAAUCCUUCCAGCGUGGCGAUCUUCACCUCCACGUUGAAAUUAGCCCUUUUAAAUGUAUGGACAUCAAUCCUCACGUCAUCGGGAACACAAUGAUCAUUUCGUUAGGUUGUAGUCAUUCAACCAUAGAGCUGUGGUUGGCUUAGUCUGCCGUGAAUUGGGUCACGGGGGCUCUUAUAGAAAUGUAGAAACGGGGUUGGUUCAUAAUUUCCAACCAAUACCUAUUUACUUGGGCGUGGCCACUGCGUGAGCAUAUUUUACUUGUGAAAACAAUUAUCUCAUUUUAAAAACUCAAAUUACAUUAAAUCUUUUCACAAAUAGUAUCAUAUUUAAACAUUUCAAUUGCACAACAAUUUCAUGUGAAUCCAAUAACUAGAAUGUGUAGACUUUCCAAGAUACAAUUUAUGUCGUCCUCUCAUCAGUAAUAAUGUUUCAGACAACAACUGAUCUGACAUCAUAUUCUUUAAGUACCAACAGAUACAUUCAACUGGUUGGAUUCCAGAAAUAUUGUUCCGUUCCCAACCUUUUGAUGUUACCAUACUCUCUCUAUGUUAACAAAGGGCUUUCCAAGAGUCCAUUCAGUAGAGUAGAGAGAGAAAAGGGGAAAGGUAUUUAUGGGGGGGUCAUAAACCUCACCAACAGGACAACGUCAUGACACCACCUGGGUUCGGCCUGUCAGAAAGUCCAGGAUCCAGUUGCAGAGGGAGGUGUUCAGACCCAGAGUCCUAAGCUUGGUGAUGAGCUUGGAAGGGACAAUGGUGUUGAACGCUGAGCGGUAGUCAACAGCAUUCUCACAUAGUUAUUCCUCUUAUCUAGGUGGGUGAUGGCAGUGUGGAGAGCAAUUGAGGUUGAAUCAUCUAUGGAUCUGUUGGGGGGGUAUGCAAAUUGGAGUGGGUGUAGGGUGUCUGGGAUGGUGGAGUUAAUGUGUGCCUUAACCAGCCUCUAAAAGCACUUCAUGAUUACAGAAGUGAGUGCUACAGGGUGGUAGUCAUUGUGUCAUGAAGCUUUAGAGUUAUUGGGGACAGGAAUGUUGGUGGUCAUGUUAAAACGUGUGGAUUACAGAUUGGGAGAGAGGAGAGGUUGAAAAUUACAGUGAAUAUGCCUUCCAGCUGUUCUGCGCAUGCUCUGAGAACACGCCCUGGAAUACUGUUGGGCCCCGUGACCUUGUGGGUGUCAACCUGAUCAAAGAACUUUUUUACGUUGGCCUCAGAGCGCGAGAUCACCCAAUCCACUGGGUCGGUGACGGCCCUCACACCCGGCACAAUUUUGUUGUCAAAGCGUGAAUAAAUUGCAUUGAGUUGGUCUGGUAGAGAGGCAUCGUUGGGCAGAUUGGGUCUUCCUUUGUAAUCUGUAAUGGACUGUAGCCCCUGCCACAUGCGGCAGGCAUCAGAGCCUGUGUAAUAUGAUUCCACCUUAUUCGUAUAUUGUACUUUUGCUCCUUUGAUGACUCUGUGGAGGUCGUAUCGGGACUCCUUGUACUUAUUCCUGUCCUCAGGGUUGUUUGCGAUAGCCCUGUGUGCGGUAACUCUGUCCUUUAGUUUAGCGCCAACCUCUGUGUUAAUCCAGGGCUUUUGAUUGGGGAAGCAGCGAACUCUCACCUUGGGGACAAUGUUGCCGAUACAUGAAGCCGGUGACUGAGGUGGUUAGCUCGACAAUGUUAUCAGCGGAGUCUCUAAACAUAUUCCAAUCAGCGCUAGCAAAGCAGUCCUGUAGCAUAAUUUCUGAUUCUGGUGAUCAUUUCUCAACGGAGCAAGUCACGGGUACUCCCUGUUUGUGUUUCUGCUUGUAAACAAGAAGCAGUAGUAUGGAGUCAUGAUCUGAUUUGCCGAAUGGGAGAUGAGGGAGGGCCUUGUAUGCUUGCUAGUGGGUAGAAUAAGAGUGGUCUAUGACUUUAUCGUCCUUAGUGGCAUUGGAGACGUGUUGAUGGAAGUUGGGCAUCACGUGACUUGGUGACGUGGAAUUUAAAUCGCCGGCAACCAGAAAGGCAGCCUCUGGAUGUAGAUUUUCUUGCUUAUUUAUAGCCUUGUACAGUUCAUUAAGUACCAGCUUGUUAUUUUCCAUGUCCUGAGGUGGAAUGUAAUACAACAGUCACGAUAACAGCUGAAAAGUCCCUCGGGAGGUAGAAGGGUCAGCAUUUGACCAUCAAGUAUUCCAAGAUGGGUGAACAGUGGAUCGACAUUUCCACCGCGCUGGAGUUAGCACACCAGUUGGUGUUGAUGUAAUCCCCUCCUCGGUUUCCCAGACUCCACUGUCCUGUCUGCCCUGUGAAUGGAGAAUCCAUUGAGUUGGAUAGUCAUGGGUGGUAUCUUGUCCGAGUCAUGUUUUAGAAAAGCAAAGAAUAUUGCAGUUUCAAGAGUCCCGUUGGUAGCAAAUUCGCGAUUGGAGGUUCUCCAUCUUAAUAUCGAGUGACUGUACAUUGACUGUCCACCCAAAGACAUCCAGCCAAUUUGACACAACUGUGGGAAGCAUUGUAGUCAACAUGGGCCAGCAUCCCUGUGGAACGCUUUCAACACCUUGUAGACUCCAUUAGCCGACAAAAUGAGGCUGUUCUGAGGGCAACUCAAUACUCCCAAUUAAGUUAGCCUUAGUGACAGAGUCUCAAACUACAGCCACCAGGGAACUUCAGGAAAAGAAGGUAGAGGGACACAGAGUCAGAGUGGAGUUAGAGGGAAUUUUGGUGGUAAUAACAGCGGGAAUGUGGGUUCCCUGAGUCACACUUCUGGUAAAGUUAGCAGUAAGGGCAGAUUAUCACACAACAGCCAUCAGGGAUCGUCAGGAAAAUAAUGCAGGGAAUCGUUGCGUGAGGGGGGAAUCAGUACGAAUGCCGGUUCUCUAGUGGAGAGGAUGGAGUCCCCUGAAUAUGGGUGUAAGAGUAUGAUUAAGGGAUAGACAGGACCUGGCUCCUAUAAUACAGCUAGUUGUGGCUGUGGUAGUAUGGCUGACGGACAGGCAAGGCAGAGCUGUAGGUGUAGUUGUACAUCUGAAGGCCAGGAACAGUGAACCUACCCCAUCUGAAGCAGACAACUCUCAGACAAGGACAGGGAUAGAGCUCCUAGUUGUGUUUAAUGGAGGACACCUCCAUACUGCUGGUGGACAUCAGCCCCAGAGCUCUGAAAGACUCAGAACACCUGGUAGGGACAGACUAUACAGAGAAAGAAUGGUACACUCUUUUAUGUUGACCUCACAUUUCUCUCAGGGAUAGUAAUUGCUUGAUUGAUUGGCUGAUUAAAUGAUUGAUUGACUGCUUUCCCAGCCAAGGUGAUCUCACCUGUGUGUACAUGGAUAGCCCCUUCGCUUCCUCUCGGGGUAGGAGGAGCCCCAGUCCUGCCAAUGACUCCGCCUCUCCACCAACCGCCUGUCAACAAGGUGUUGUCAAUGGCAACCUGGGAAGCCUUUUUACAGCUGUAGAUGAUGAGGACAAGUGUUCUUCCACCAAUCGUCUACAGAGGCUGCUUGCUGAGUCUCAUCAGAUGGUGGCUAGCUCAGAACGUACAACCCUACAACCUCUAAGCCCCUUCCACAGCCUAGCUUCUAACGCUGUGACGCUGUCAUUAGCCUCAGCAUCAGCCACGAUAGUGGAAACAAUAACCAUGGAAACCUCAGUUGGAACCGUGACAGAUAAAGUCAAAGCAAUCCCAAUCACUACCUCAACCAGAGCUCCACCCACACCCAACUUUUUUGAUUGGCUCCUAUUGUAUGUGCUUUUUUUCCAGAACCAGGGACAUGGCAAUGGGCAGUGAAUGAAUAAAAUUAAACUCCUUUUUUAGAAAACCAAAGGACUUAUAUUUCUUAUGGUCAAAGGUAUUUUUUGACAAAUUGUACCAGUCAAGUAUGAACACACCUAGUCAUUCUGUAAUGAAUACUCGGGGAGAAAAAGGUGUAGAUUCACGUGCAGAGCGUGGCAGGUGUUUUAUUUCGCCUUCGCAGAAGGCAUCAAUCGUGGUCACAUGCAGGAAAUGGUCAUACACAGGUAGGCAAACAGGUAGGUGAAUCAAACUAGGACUGAAGGCUAUAACUGGUUCUCACAAACGAGCUAGGAAAAGGCUUAGUACAGUCAAAACAAACUACCUCACAAUACCAAACAGAAUGAACUGAACUAAAUAAGGAGCUGAUGAGACUAGGUGAGUAACUAACACAGGUGAAAUCAAUGAACAAAAAUUAAAGACGGCUACGUUCAAGAACACAAUGAAACAGAACACAAGGUUGACUCAUAAAAUAAAUACAGAACCUUACACAUUCCAGGGUUUUUCUUUAUUUUUUACUAUUUUCUACAUUGAAGAAUUAUAGUGAACACAUCAAAACUGAAAUAAAACACAUGGAAUCAUAUAGUAACUAAAAAAAGGUUCAACAUAGUCCCGGACUUGAACCCCAUCAAACAUCUCUGGAGAGACCUGCAAAUAGCUGUCCCCAUCCAACCUGACAGUGCUUGAGAGGAUCUGCAGAGAAGAAUGGGAGAAACUUCCCAAAUACAGGUGUGCCAAGCUUGUAGCGUCAUACCCCAAAAGACUUGAGGCUGUAAUUGCUACCAAAGAUGCUUCAACAAAGUACUGAGUAAAGAGUCUGAAUAAGUAUGUAAAUUUGACAUUUCUAUUUUAACAUUUUUAUAAAUUAGCAAAAAUGUCUAAAAACAUGUUUUUGCUUUGUCAUUAUGGGUAUUGUGUGUAGAUUGAUGAGGAAAAAACAUUUAAUCAAUUUUAGAAUAAGGCUGUAACCUAACAAAAUGUUGAAAAAGUCAAGGGAUCUAAAUAGUUUUCGAAGGCACUGUACACCACCUAGUGUAUCCUUACCUUCAAUAUCCUAUUAUGUUAACUUAUGUAACAUGUUACAUCAAAAUACUUUAUCCUGUAGACACUCCUUUCUAGUAUGAAUAAGUACAUGGAUUCUUUCCUCCCCAGCACAAGGUUAUUCCAGGUGACCUGGAGAUCACAGACGAGACGGUGGAGAAAGAGGUAGGGAUUGACGCAACAAAAUGUGAGUUUCUGUCCCCUCUGACAAAAUAGUAAUUAGCAGCAUACUGUACCCCCAAACUCCUAUAAUAUUAUGGAUGCAAAUGUCUUUCUCAACACCAAAUCGGGGGUUGUCGAGUUGUUUCUGAGGUGAGCUACGUUUGCAGGUGUUAAGUGUUCUCUGUAACACUAUAAGGGGUUCUCUUCUCUAUAGAUUUGAUAUUACUCAGGGGCUGCUAGAUUACUUGGAUGCUACCUCUGUCCCAGCACAAAUCCUUUCCCCUUCCAAAUAACUCCGUAGAACUCACCAAGCCACCCUCCACUUCGAGGAAACCUUCCAUCAUCCACAAAACAGGAACCCUGUUCAGUAAGUUCCAAAGACGUGGAACAGAGGAAUCCUGACUCCGGAAUGUUAGAAUCCUGACUCUGGAGUAAGAAGAUUCUACCAGUCUGGAUACCUUAUCAUACCUGUAACAUCACCUGUGUACAUAAUGGUUAAUAAUAAUAUUAUGAUUAAUUACUCAAAUAAUUCUUAAAAUGUGCUAAUUUAUAUGACUUUACUCGCUUUAAUCUAAGAAUGUGUAUUAUCUUUCUACUUGAAAGAGCAGUCAUCUCUUAUGAUGCAGUGCUUUAAUGAUGAAUGGUGUCUAAACCAACAUCCCAAUGCCUUGUCCAAAUGCCUUCAAACUGCUUGAAUAGGCAACGUGAUAACAUGAUAACGACCAAUCAAUGUACAGCUGACCUAUUAGACAGAUAAAAACUUUACAUAGUUCCUUGUAUGUGAGUAGACUUACUUUACAUAGAUUUUGAUAUUUGUUACAUUUAUUUAGAUAAACAGACAUUUUAAAUAAAUAUAUACAUUUACAUAUGUCCUGAAGUGUAGAUUUAGUCUUUGUGAUUGACAGGAGAAAUGACCAGUGGGGCUUUAUUGCGACUGUGAUUGACCCCUGGGCUGAAGUAUGGAUUGAGUGUGUCAGCAAAGUUUGUAUUCGUAUUUAUUAUGGAUGUAUUUGUCACGCCCUGAUCCGUUACACCUGUCUUUGUGCUUGUCUCCACCCCCCUCCAGGUGUCACCUAUCUUCCCCAUUAUCCCCUGUGUACUUAUACCUGUGUCUUCUGUUUGUCUGUUGCCAGUUCGUCUUGUUUGUCAAUCCUACCAGCGUUCGUCCUGUCAGCGCCUGACUUUGUCCCUGCAUCCCUUUUUCGCAUCCUCCUGGUUUUUUACCCUUGCCUGUCCUGACCUUGUACCUGACCACCUGACCACUCUGCCCAUCCCGGACCCUGAGCCUACCUUUGCUCCACCUCUGGAUUACUGAACUCUGCCUGACCCUGAGCCUGCUUGCCAUCCUGGACCUUUACUCCACCUCUGGUUUACUGAACUCUGCCUGUCCCUGAGCCUGCCUGCCUUGACCUGUCGUUUGCCUGCCCCUGGUGUUACAAUAAACAUCAUUACUUCACACA